rnacentral:lncRNA from 1 species
AGCGGAUCUUCAAGAGCAAAGACCGGAGAACAGUAAGAGCUGAUUUGUCUCAAUUAGGCUUUUGACGGAGCGGAGAAAGAUCUUAUUUUAAUUUAGGGGAUUCCUCUAUAAAGAAUAAGGGAGAAGAUCUACAACCUAGCAAACUAACCUCCUUCUUACUAGCAUUUUUCCAGGUCCUCUCGAACCAGCAUCAUCCAACCUGGUGCUCUCACUUCUCGGACUAGUACAGGUCCAAGCCAAAGCCAAAGCUCCCAAAGUCUAA